AUCCAGCUGAUGAGUUCCAAAUAGGACGAAACAUGCGUCAAACUGGAU
rnacentral:hammerhead_ribozyme from 1 species